rnacentral:lncRNA from 1 species
AUUGUUAUUGAUCUAUGUCUUGAUAUUACUAAAUUUCUCUUUUAAGUUCACAUGUGAGAUGUUGAAAUAUGGUUGACCUGUUUCUUAACUGGAAAACUAUAGUUAUGGCUAUGAAUGGCAAAUCAUUUCUAUUUCUCUCUUUUGAGUUCAAAUCUCGAAUGCUAAAUCCUUGAUAGACCCAUUUCUUGGCAGGACAACUCUAGUUGCAGCCAUAGUGGAACAAUCCUUGAACUCUCUUUUAAUUUUAAAAUCUCAUAUGCUGAGAAUGUGAUUCACACAUUUCUUAAUGUUAAAAUAUUUAUCUUUUGAGUUCACAUUUGAGAUGUUAAGAAUGUGAUUGACUUGUUUUUUUGGCGGGGCAAUCUAGUUGCGGCCAUGUUGGAAAACUUUUUUCUCUUUUAAUUUUAAAAUCUCAAAAACUAAAAAUGUGAUUUACACACUUCUUAAUGUUAAAAUAUUUCUCUUCUAAGUUCACAUAUGAGAUGUUGAGAAUGUGAUUGAUCUGUUUCUAGGCGGGGCGACUGUAGUCGCAACCGUAUUGGGCAAAUCUAUUCUCUUUCUCUUUUAAUUUUAAAUCUCAGAUGCUGAGAAUGUGAUUGAUCCAUGUCUGAAUGUUACUAAAUUUCUCUUUUCAGUUCACAUAUAAGAUAUUGAAAUGCAGUUGAUCUGUUUCUUUGCAGGAAAACAAUAGUUACAGCCAUGGAUGGCAAAUCAUUUCUAUUUCUUUCUUAUAAGUUCAAAUCUUGAAUGCUAAAACUCUGAAUGACCCGUUUCUUGGCGGGACAACUCCAGUUGCAGUCAUAGUGGGAAAUUCUUUUCUCUCUUUUAAUUUUAAAAUCUCAUGAGAAUAUGAUUGACACAUUUCUUAAUGUUAAAAUAUUUAUUUUUUGAGUUUACAUUUGAGAUCUUGAGAAUGUGAUUGACCUAUUUCUUGAUGGGGCAGUCUAGUUGCAGCCAUGUUGGAAAAAUCUCUUUAUUUUAAUUUUAAAAUCCCAUAUGUUGUAAAUGUGAUUUACACAUUUCUUAAUGUUAAAGUAUUUCUCUUUUGAUUUGACAUAUGAGAUGUUGAGAAUGUAAUUGAUAUGUUUCUUGGCAGGGCGACUGUAGUUGCAGUAGUGGUGGACAUAUCUAUUGUUUUUCUCUUAUAAUUUUACAUCUUAGAUGCUGAGAAUGUGAUUGAUCUGUGUCUUGAUGUUACUAAAUUUAUCUUUUGAGUUCACAUAUGAGAUGUUGAAAUGUGGUUGAUCUGUUUCUUGACGGAAAAACUAUAGUUACAACCGUGUAUGCCAAAUUUUAAUUUUAAAACUCAUACACUGAGAAUUUGAUUGACAAAUUUCUUAAUCUUAAAAUAUUUCUCAUUUGAGUUCACAUAUGAGAUGUUAAGAAAAAAUGAUUGACCUCUUUCUUGGCGGGGUAAUCUAGUUACAGCCAUGUUGGAAAACCCCUUUUAUUUUAAUUUUAAAAUCUCAUAUGCUGAAAAUGUGAUUUGCACAUUUCUUAAUGUUAAAAUAUUUUUCUUUUGAUUUCACAUAUGUGAUGCUGAGAAUGUGAUUGACCUGUUUCUUGGCGAGGCAGUCUAGUUGAAGCUAUGUUGGAAAACCCUUUUUAUUUUAAUUUUAAAAUCUCAUAUGCUGAAAAUAUGAUUUACACAUUUCUUAAUGUUAAAAUAUUUCUCUUUUGAUUUCACAUAUGAGAUGUUAAGAAUGUGAUUGAUUUGUUUCUUGACGGGGCGACUGUAGUAGCAUCUAUGGUGGGCAAAUCUGUUAUAUUUCUCUUUUAAUUUUAAAUCUCAGAUGCUGAGAAUGUAAUUGAUCUGUGCCUUGAUGUUACUAAAUUUCUCUUUUGAGUUCACAUAUGAGAUGUUGAAAUGUGGUUGAUCUGUUUCUUGGCGGAAAAAUUAUAGUUACAUCCAUGGAUGGCAAAUCAUUUUUAUUUCUCUCUUUUGAGUUGAAAUCUCGAUUGCUAAAACUGUGAAUGACCCGUUUCUUGGCCGGACAACUCUAGUUGUAGCCAUAGUGGAAAAAUACUUGCUCUCUUUUAAUUUUAAAACUCAUACACUGAGAAUUUGAUUGACAAAUUUUUUAAUCUUAAAAUAUUUAUCUUUUAAGUUCACAUAUGAGAUGUUGAGAAUGUGAUUGACCUCUUUCUUGACGGGGCAAUCUAGUUUAAGCCAUGUUGGAAAAUCCUUACUCCCUUUUUUAAUUUUGAAAUCUUGUAUGUUGAAAAUGUGAUUGAUACAUUUCUUAAUGUUAAAUUAUUUCUCUUUUAAUUUCACAUAUGAGAUGUUGAGAUGUGAUUGAUCUGUUUCUUGGCAUUGCGUAGUUGUAGCCAUGGUAGGACAAUCUAUUCUUUUUCUUUUUUAAUUUUAAAUCUUAUAUGUUGAGAAUGUGAUUGAUCUGUGUCUUGACGUAACUAAAUUUCUCUUUUGAGUUCACAUAUGAGAUGUUAAAAUGUGGUUAAUCUGUUUCUCGAUGGGAAAACUAUUGUUAUAGCCAUAGAU